rnacentral:tRNA from 1 species
GCGGAAGUGGUGGAACUGGUAGACACGCUAUCUUGAGGGGGUAGUGGCUUCGGUCGUGCGGGUUCAAGUCCCGCCUUCCGCA